rnacentral:rRNA from 1 species
AAGUCGUAACAAGGUUUCCGUAGGUGAACCUGCGGAAGGAUCAUUGUCGAAACCUGCCUAGCAGAACGACCCGUGAAUGCGUUAUCAUACAAAACACCGAGAGGGUGCGGAUGCAAUAUUGCCCCAACCCCUCUCGAUGCCUUGCUGCGUUUGGUCUUGCCUCAUUCCACCUUGUGAGGGUGAGUUGCAAUUCCCAUCCACUCCAAGGCAAAACCAACAACCCCCGGCGCGAAUUGCGCCAAGGAAAUUAAAUGAAAAGAGUGCAACGUUACUGUCUCCGACCCGUUCGCGGUGUUUGUGAGGGAGUGUCGCUGUUACUUUUGUCGUGAAAAUACAAAACGACUCUCGGCAACGGAUAUCUCGGCUCUCGCAUCGAUGAAGAACGUAGCGAAAUGCGAUACUUGGUGUGAAUUGCAGAAUCCCGUGAACCAUCGAGUCUUUGAACGCAAGUUGCGCCCCAAGCCAUUAGGCCGAGGGCACGUCUGCCUGGGUGUCACGCAUCGUUGCCCCCAUCAAACCUCGAGCUUAUUCGGCUCAGGUCAAAUUGUGGGCGGAAAUUGGCUUCCCGUGUGCUCACCGUGCGCGGCUGGCCUAAAAAUGAGUUUUCGGCGAUGAAGUGCCGCAACAAUCGGUGGGAAUGCUUUCAGCUGCCUCGUUCGAAGUUGUGUGUGCUCGUCGAUUCGAACCCUAUGACCCUUUUGGCAUCACAAUGUUGGUGCUCGCAUCGCGACCCCAGGUCAGGCGGGAUU